CCUGGUGUGAAUGUAUUGACGGCUUUGCUUAACAAGUAUGAGUAAGUGUGUCAGCGACAGACAUUAUGCUCAUUACGUUUGUGCAGAAAGUCAAGGUCAGUCUCGGACGGAGAGUCGGGUGCUUCAGCCAUCCCUGCGUUUUUUCUCUUAAAUAAAAAUGCCUUUAAUGUCUGCAGUGAUGAAGGCAGUCCGAGGCUGAUCUUGGUCGAGCACGAAAAGCAAAGUCUUCCAAAGCUCCUUGCCUUGAGCUCAGCAAUGGUAAUGUCGUUAUGAAGGGAGCAGCUUCCUCGUUCUCUCUCCCUGUCUGCUGAAGGCCUGUGGGCGGAGCCUCCAGACCCUGCCUGCGUAUGAUAAUGAGGGGCGGGGUCGAUGCUUGGACGCUCUCGCCAAGAUUAGAACAGAUUAGAAAAGAAAAAGAAAAAACCUACCUCAGGGUAAAGUUACCUCAGUAUUCCUUUUUUUUGCUUGCUGGUCUUCUAUAUAAUAGGAAAAAAAUUGCUGAGAGUCCUGAAUAUUUUUUUAUUUUUUUAAGAAAAUUUUUUUUUUUCUUUUUAGGUAUUGAGUUAUGGCUUUGGUAGUUUUUUUUUUCUUCCUUUUUUGUGUUUUCUGGUGUGAUGGUUGAAUGAGUUCAGGAUGACAAAGAUGCUGUUUUCUUUUUUCCUAAGUGGAGAGAGAUCGGUCUGCUGGUGUAGAGAAGAAACGGGUCCCAUUUUUCCAUCUUUUGGGGGGAAACAUGCUCGGUCUUCCUGACGUGUGAGUGGAGCCUCUGUAGUCUGAAACAGAGAAAUGGCCAAAAGGGAGUUAUGUUUAACUCGAGAGAGGAUCCUCAAGUGCACAUGGUGACCAAGCUCGCCACCGGGGUAAUCGGAUAACCUUUGUGUCAUACCCCGUUCCUGUGGCUUCUGGCCUGCCGUGUGCCCUGAAAUACCCUCCUCUCCUCGUCUUAUUUUGACGACAUUGCCACGAAGCGCCAAACAUUAUGAGACUGCUUUACAGACCUGCAAUAUUGGCAUAUGAAAAUGCGACCUUUCUCACCUGGAGGUUGGGACUUUAAAUAUUAGCGGUCCACCUACAGAGUAGCUGUACUGUGUCAGGUGUUUUACUUACACACAGGAACUAGCUCGGACUUCUCUGAAUGUGAAUAUUUAUUACCUGUGCACUGACCGUGCCACCUCAGAUGCUCCCUGUUGGCUACACGUGUGCUUGUUGUGUGUAUGUGUGAAUGCAGGCGCGUCUGUGUUCGCUGGUUUUAAAUGUUCCUUUUUUAAAAGUCAGGGGAUGUGUUUGGGUGAUGUGGUUGAGGAAAAAAUAAGCAGAUAAAAGUAGGAUGAGAACCCAGUGGAGAAAAUCCACAAAUCUUUUAGAGGAAAAAGAUGGGAGCUACAGCAACGCAGCUGGGAUAAUAUUCUAACCUGUACAUAACAUGUUCGAAAUGUGAUCUCUAACCUUUUGUACUUUUGGAGAAAAAAAAACCUUAAAAAUCAAAGUGGGAAAGAACCAUCAGACAGAAA
ensembl:lncRNA